GACGAACGCUGGCGGCGUGCUUAACACAUGCAAGUCGGACGGUAAGGUCCUUCGGGGUACACGAGUGGCGAACGGGUGAGUAACACGUGGGUGAUCUGCCCUGCACUUCGGGAUAAGCCUGGGAAACUGGGUCUAAUAACGGAUAGGACCACUGCCUGCAUGGGUGGUGGUGGAAAGCUUUUGCGGUGUGGGAUGGGCCCGCGGCCUAUCAGCUUGUUGGUGGGGUGAUGGCCUACCAAGGCGACGACGGGUAGCCGGCCUGAGAGGGUGACCGGCCACACUGGGACUGAGAUACGGCCCAGACUCCUACGGGAGGCAGCAGUGGGGAAUAUUGCACAAUGGGCGCAAGCCUGAUGCAGCGACGCCGCGUGAGGGAUGACGGCCUUCGGGUUGUAAACCUCUUUCAGCACCGACGAAGCGCAAGUGACGGUAGGUGCAGAAGAAGGACCGGCCAACUACGUGCCAGCCGCCGCGGUAA
rnacentral:rRNA from 1 species